GAUGAACGCUGGCGGCGUGCUUAACACAUGCAAGUCGAACGAUGAAGCCCAGCUUGCUGGGUGGAUUAGUGGCGAACGGGUGAGUAACACGUGAGUAACCUGCCCUUGACUCUGGGAUAAGCCUGGGAAACUGGGUCUAAUACUGGAUAUGACUUCUCAUCGCAUGGUGGGGGGUGGAAAGAUUUAUUGGUCUUGGAUGGACUCGCGGCCUAUCAGCUUGUUGGUGAGGGAAUGGCUCACCAAGGCGACGACGGGUAGCCGGCCUGAGAGGGUGACCGGCCACACUGGGACUGAGAGACGGCGCAGACUCCUACGGGAGGCAACAGUGGGGAAUAUUGCACAAUGGGCGCAAGCCUGAUGCAACGGCGCCGCGUGCGGGAAGACGGGCUUCGGGUUGUAAACCUCUUUCAGUAGGGAAGAAGCGAGAGUGACGGUACCUGCAGAAGAAGCGCCGGCUAACUACGUG
rnacentral:rRNA from 1 species